rnacentral:rRNA from 1 species
AUACGUAGGGGGCGAGCGUUGUCCGGAAUGAUUGGGCGUAAAGGGCGCGUAGGCGGCCCGGUAAGUCUGGAGUGAAAGUCCUGUUUUUAAGAUGGGAAUUGCUUUGGAUACUGUCGGGCUUGAGUGCAGGAGAGGUAAGUGGAAUUCCCAGUGUAGCGGUGAAAUGCGUAGAGAUUGGGAGGAACACCAGUGGCGAAGGCGACUUACUGGACUGUAACUGACGCUGAGGCGCGAAAGUGUGGGGAGCAAACAGGAGUAGAUACCCUGGUAGUCCACACUGUAAACGAUGAAUGCUAGGUGUAGGGGGUAUCGACCCCUUCUGUGCCGCAGUCAACACAAUAAGCAUUCCGCCUGGGGAGUACGGCCGCAAGGUUGAAACUCAAAUGAAUUGACGGGG